rnacentral:rRNA from 1 species
UACGGAGGGGGCUAGCGUUGUUCGGAAUUACUGGGCGUAAAGCGCACGUAGGCGGCUUUGCAAGUCAGAGGUGAAAGCCCGGGGCUCAACCCCCGGAAUUGCCUUUGAGACUGCAUCGCUAGAAUUGCGGAGAGGUAAGUGGAAUUCCGAGUGUAGAGGUGAAAUUCGUAGAUAUUCGGAAGAACACCAGUGGCGAAGGCGACUUACUGGACACAUAUUGACGCUGAGGUGCGAAAGCGUGGGGAGCAAACAGG